GUCCGCGGUGGCCGGUCAGCGGGCCGGCGCGGCGCGCCAGUGGCGGCGGCAACAGGCACGGGCGGCCGCACCUGACGCACGGUGUGGAGUACUGUACCGAUGGCUGUGAACAUCGCUUCUGUGUGAAGGCCAUGACUGCAAGGCACUGUUGGCUGGUGUGCGGCUU